GAGGGAGAUCCUGGGGGUCCCCGGCCGCUAGCUUCUCUUCCUUAAGCCUCAGUUUGAGCCCCAAGGGUAGACGCAGGGGACCUGGGCAAGACUGAGUAGGAGUUCUUCAUUUUUGUCACUCAGCAGGGUAGUCGCUCUGGAAGCCCAUUUGGUUCUCUUACCCUGGCUUGCAGUCUGGACAGCUGGCUUGACUGGCUGGAGGGUUGGGGAUGUGGAAGCUGAAGUAUUUAUGAGACCACCUUCUCUCCACUUUAGGUUUUUUGUUUUUGUUUUCUUUUUUGAUACCGGGAUCGAACUCAGGACCUUGCACUUGGGAGGCAGGCGGCGGCACCACUGAGCUAAAUCUCCAGCCCUCCACCUUAGGUUAAGAUUCCAAGGGUGUCAGGUGGGACUGAAUUUGGUGCGAUGCUGUCCGUGAGUUUGCCUUCUUCCAACCCUGUGACACUUACCCUAAGGCCACUCAUACCAAACAACCGGCUUGGCCAGAUUCCACGUGGCGGGCGCUUGAGUGGACAGUGAGGGUUGCAGUCUCUCCUGUAGAAGUCUGCAUCCCCUGAAUCUGAGACUUCCUUUAGAUUUUACAUAUGGAAAGUGGAAGACAGGAGAAAGAAAAACUCCCGUUGAUCAUGCAGUAUGUGCCAGAUAAAGCCAACUCUGAAGAACUUGAUCUUUCCUGCUUAUACUGGUUAGAAUCUGGAAAUCUGGAAAUGGAGCUAUUGGAAUUUCAAGAAAGCUCUACCUGGGAAAAUAAAUUCUAUGACCUGUGUGAAAAGAUAGAGUGUGAACGGGUAACAAAGGACAACACAGUGGGUAGUUCUGAAAAUGAAAUCAUUAAAGUGUGGAAUUUUCUGCCAAAUAAUUUUAAGUUAAUAAAAGCACUUGGGAUUGCUCUUCUUACUUUGUUUGGAUCAUCUUAUGCUUGUGAGCAGCUGUGUUCAGCUUUGAAUUCUAUCAAAUCUGAUAAUGGGAAACAGACUAACAGAUGACCUAAACAAUGCAUGUGUUGCUUGCACACUAACGAAGUGUGAGCCAAGAUUUGACACAUUAUCAGCGUGCAGGGCCAGGGAUUUAGCUCAGUGGUUCCGCCACCUGCCCCACAAAUGCAAGGACUGGAGCUUGAUCCCUGGUACAAAAAAAAAAAAAAAAAAAAUUAUCAGCAUGCAACACCAAAAUCACAUUAAUUGUGCACCAGCAUGCCAAAUGCAAAUUCUACCUUUCAAUAAAAGGCUGCUUGUUUCAUUGAAAACUCUGUUACUAUGGGUUUUUUUUUUUUUUGGUACUGGGGAUUGAACUCGGGACCUUGUGGUUACAAGG
rnacentral:lncRNA from 1 species